rnacentral:misc_RNA from 1 species
AAAAAUACAUAAAAAAAUGUUAAUAACCAUAAGUCCAAUUAAACCACCAACCUGUCAUUAUCUGUUGAACAAAGUUACACUUGGCUAUUUGCAUCAGUGUUAUUAAAUCUAGACUGAACCAACUGAUUAGGUCGGUGCAUCAAACCCUUAAUUGGUCUAGAUUUAUAGUUAAAUCAGAUAAAAAAUGACUUGAUUGACUCAGUGAGUCAAAUUGGUGUGAUCCGACGUAACCUGGCUAGUUCAAACAAUCAAUGGGGUCGAAAAUAUUUUAGUGCUAGCG